CACGUAAGGGGCGAGCGUUGUUCGGAAUUAUUGGGCGUAAAGGGCACGCAGGCGGCCUGACAAGUCUGAUGUGAAAGACCUGGGCUCAACUCAGGGAGCGCGUUGGAAACUGUCAAGCUAGAGUAUCAGAGGGGAAGUCGGAAUUCCUAGUGUAGGGGUGAAAUCUGUUGAUAUUAGGAAGAACACCGGUGGCGAAGGCGGACUUCUGGCUGGAUACUGACGCUGAGGUGCGAAAGCAUAGGGAGCAAAC
rnacentral:rRNA from 1 species